rnacentral:rRNA from 1 species
CCUACGAGAGGCAGCAGUAGGGAAUAUUGCUCAAUGGGGGAAACCCUGAAGCAGCAACGCCGCGUGGAGGAUGAAGGUUUUCGGAUUGUAAACUCCUUUUGUUAGAGAAGAUAAUGACGGUAUCUAACGAAUAAGCACCGGCUAACUCCGUGCCAGCAGCCGCGGUAAUACGGAGGGUGCAAGCGUUACUCGGAAUCACUGGGCGUAAAGAGCGCGUAGGCGGGAUAGCAAGUCAGAUAUGAAAUCCUAUGGCUUAACCAUAGAACUGCAUUUGAAACUGUGAUUCUAGAGUAUGGGAGAGGAAGGUGGAAUUCUUGGUGUAGAGGUAAAAUCCGUAGAGAUAAAGAGGAAUACUCAUUGCGAAGGCGAGCUGCUAGAACAUAACUGACGCUGAUGCGCGAAAGCGUGGGGAGCAAACAGGAUUAGAUACCCCUGUAGUC